UAUUAGUGGGGGACAACAUUUCGAAAGGAAUGCUAAUACCGCAUACGUCCUACGGGAGAAAGCAGGGGAUCUUCGGACCUUGCGCUAAUAGAUGAGCCUAAGUCGGAUUAGCUAGUUGGUGGGGUAAAGGCCUACCAAGGCGACGAUCUGUAGCGGGUCUGAGAGGAUGAUCCGCCACACUGGGACUGAGACACGGCCCAGACUCCUACGGGAGGCAGCAGUGGGGAAUAUUGGACAAUGGGCGCAAGCCUGAUCCAGCCAUGCCGCGUGUGUGAAGAAGGCCUUAUGGUUGUAAAGCACUUUAAGCGAGGAGGAGGCUACUGAAGUUAAUACCUUCAGAUAGUGGACGUUACUCGCAGAAUAAGCACCGGCUAACUCUGUGCCAGCAGCCGCGGUAAUACAGAGGGUGCAAGCGUUAAUCGGAUUUACUGGGCGUAAAGCGCGCGUAGGCGGCUAAUUAAGUCAAAUGUGAAAUCCCCGAGCUUAACUUGGGAAUUGCAUUCGAUACUGGUUAGCUAGAGUGUGGGAGAGGAUGGUAGAAUUCCAGGUGUAGCGGUGAAAUGCGUAGAGAUCUGGAGGAAUACCGAUGGCGAAGGCAGCCAUCUGGCCUAACACUGACGCUGAGGUGCGAAAGCAUGGGGAGCAAACAGGAUUAGAUACCCUGGUAGUCCAUGCCGUAAACGAUGUCUACUAGCCGUUGGGGCCUUUGAGGCUUUAGUGGCGCAGCUAACGCGAUAAGUAGACCGCCUGGGGAGUACGGUCGC
rnacentral:rRNA from 1 species